GCCAGUGUAGCUCAGGGGUAGAGCAACUGAUUCGUAAUCAGUAGGUCAGGGGUUCAAUUCCCCUCACUGGCU
rnacentral:tRNA from 1 species